rnacentral:lncRNA from 1 species
GCCUCCAAUACCUAUAUGGGAUAUUGAACUCAUUAUCACAUACCUUAAUGGGAGGCUAUGAUCUAGUUAUCCCCAUAACUAGCUCAUUUUAUGGACCUAAUAAUUUAGAAGAUUUGGUUAAUAUAUUUUAGAGGACAUCAGUCGACCUAUAAGUCAUAAUCCUCCCACUGACGUCACCAAGUCAUGAAAAGGAUUAGUGAUUAGUGGGUCCAACCGGCAUGUCGUAGAUCCUCCUACUGACUUUACCAACUC